CCCUUCCAUUUGGCGCGGCUAGCCUAUUGGUUCCACGCGUGCGCGCGCCCCGUGACCACGCCCUGUUGCUGGUGAAGAUCAUAUUGAGGCAUUGGAAAAAGGAGCUCCCUCCAGUAUGCAGAUGACUCAAUAUCCUGAGAAGGCACCUUUAUUUAUACUGGAAGAUCCUGCAGAUACCUGCCUAACAAAACUCUGCUAUCCUUAAUGCUGUGGACUAGAAGUAACAGCUGCUUUCAAGGUCAAGUCUGGAAUGUUCCAAGGCACUGGACAUGAGACAUUCAAGAGCCUGGAGAAGAGACAAACGUUGUCUGUGCAAGGCCAGAGACAAGUAAAGGAGCCAUGGCUACAGUUUGUGGACCAGUAGUCUCUGGACCCCCAGUCUUCAGACUCUUAGGCCAGGGCUUGAGUCUCAGAUUUUGUUGUUUGGCACAGUGAGUGAGCUGGGCAUCGAUAUGGAGUCAGGUAGAAUAGAAAACAGGACUUACACUGAUACAUUACCUUGGUAAAGCUGUUGUGAGUGAAUACAAGGUUGGAUGAAUCAAGAACCCUUGGCAACAAUUGAUGCUCAAGAAGGAGGUGACUGUCCGAGAAGUAAUGAUGCCACAUCAAGUUGGCUCAAUAAAGAUGCGCUUUGUGCAUUUGCUUGCUUCAGAACAACAAGUAAUCAGGCUCCUUCCACCCCACUCAAAUGUUUGCAGAGGGGUGUUUGAUCAGUUCAAAUGUUAAUUUAGAAAUCACAUAUAUGGCCACUGUAACUGGAACACUUUCAGUGUUCUUUCUGGAAUGCUGUGGUAUGAGUUUGCUGAUAAAUGCCAGUGUUUGCAUCCAUUAUAAGGCUGGUGAGGACCAGUAGUUUCCUAGGCACAGUUUGAGAUAAACUAAAAAAUAAAAAGAACCAUUGCCCUGUGCCUAGAAAA
rnacentral:lncRNA from 1 species